UUCAGUGAUGAAAACUGCUGCAUAGGAAGUGCCGUCUGAUGCGAGAACUGACGAUUCAAAGAGCUGUUCUGAGA